rnacentral:rRNA from 1 species
AAUUAAGAGCGGANGACUUACCUUGUCAAUCGCGAAUGCCUCUAGAUUAGAGUUUGAUCAUGGCUCAGUAGCUGAACGCUGGCGGUAGGCCUAACACAUGCAAGUUGAACGGCAGCACAGGAGAGCUUGCUCUCAUGGGUGGCCAGGUGGCGGACGGGUGAGGAAUACAUCGGAAUCUACUCUGAUCGAAAGGGGGGAUAACGGUANGGUANAACGUUUACGGCGUAUAUACCGUCAUACGUACCUUACGGGAUGAAAAGGCAGAGGUGNAUCAUUCGGACCNUNCGACGAGUUGGAAAUGAGCCGAAUGGAUCGGAUUCUAGCUNAAGCNUUGGGUCGGGNGACUANAAGGCGCCCCAACCAAAAGAGGGACCGGAAACGCCAUUCACAGGUGAGGCCAUGUGANUUCCUGGAGAGAAGCGNCACUGCAUCCCAGAGNGCCCGANCGAACUCGGGAAAANCAUGGACGCAACCAACCGGGCGAACCCAAGGAAANAUCNCAUUAACGAGGGNAAAGGGACNCAGGACCAAGGAAGAGGAGAAA